rnacentral:rRNA from 1 species
CUAUGGGAGGCUGCAGUGGGGAAUAUUGCACAAUGGGCGCAAGCCUGAUGCAGCCAUGCCGCGUGUAUGAAGAAGGCCUUCGGGUUGUAAAGUACUUUCAGCGGGGAGGAAGGGAGUAAAGUUAAUACCUUUGCUCAUUGACGUUACCUGCAGAAGAAGCACCGGCUAAUCCGUGCCAGCAGCCGCGGUAAUACGGAGGGUGCAAGCGUUAAUCGGAAUUACUGGGCGUAAAGCGCACGCAGGCGGUUUGUUAAGUCAGAUGUGAAAUCCCCGGGCUCAACCUGGGAACUGCAUCUGAUACUGGCAAGCUUGAGUCUCGUAGAGGGGGGUAGAAUUCCAGGUGUAGCGGUGAAAUGCGUAGAGAUCUGGAGGAAUACCGGUGGCGAAGGCGGCCCCCUGGACGAAGACUGACGCUCAGGUGCGAAAGCGUGGGGAGCAAACAGGAUUAGAUACCCUCGUAGUC